GACGAACGUUGGCGGCGUGUCUAAGGCAUGCAAGUCGAGCGGAUAUCAUUUUUUAGCAAUAUUAGAUGAUGUUAGCGGCAAACGGGUGCGUAACACAUUGGUAAUCUACCCCCCAGUCGGGCACAACUCGCCGAAAGGCGAGCUAAUUCCACGAUGGGCAUGCGGGGACAUAUGUCAUUCGCAUGUAAAGCGCAAAACGCGCUGGGGGAGGAGCCUAUGGCCCAUCAGCUUGUUGGCGGGGUAAAAGCCCACCAAGGCUACGACGGGUAGGGGGUGUGAGAGCAUGACCCCCCUCACUGGGACUGAGACACUGCCCAGACACCUACGGGUGGCUGCAGUUAAGAAUAUUCCUCAAUGGCCGAAAGGCUGAAGGAGCGACGCCGCGUGCAGGAUGAAGGGCUUUGGCUCGUAAACUGCUUUUAUUGGGAAGAAUUCUGACGGUACCAAAUGAAUAAGAGGUUGCUAACUCUGUGCCAGCAGCCGCGGUAAUCU
rnacentral:rRNA from 1 species